GAUGAACGCUGGCGGCGUGCCUAAUACAUGCAAGUCGAGCGAACAGACGAGGAGCUUGCUCCUCUGACGUUAGCGGCGGACGGGUGAGUAACACGUGGAUAACCUACCUAUAAGACUGGGAUAACUUCGGGAAACCGGAGCUAAUACCGGAAAAUAUAUUGAACCGCAUGGAUCAAUAGUGAAAGACGGUAUUGCUGUCACUUAUAGAUGGAUCCGCGCCGCAUUAGCUAGUUGGUAAGGUAACGGCUUACCAAGGCAACGAUGCGUAGCCGACCUGAGAUGGUGAUCGGCCACACUGGAACUGUGCCACGGUCCAGACUCCUACGGUAGGCAGCAGUAGGGAGUCUUCCGCAAUGGGCGAAAGCUUGACGGGGCAACGCCGCGUGAGUGAUGAAGGUCUUCGGAUCGUAAAACUCUGUUAUUAGGGAAGAACAAAUGUGUAAGUAACUAUGCACGUCUUGACGGUACCUAAUCAGAAAGCCACGGCUAACUACGUG
rnacentral:rRNA from 1 species